CCCCAUGAUUUCCAUGUCUACAACCAUCAGCAGUGGCUGUCUUCUAAGGAGGCUUCGCAUCCAAUCCCACAACAGUCCAGCAGCCAAAGCACCCAAUGUUAAACUGGGGGCUUUAGUUUUGAUUUUGUUUCUUAUGACAGGGUCUCAACUAUAUAGCCCAAGCAGAACUGAAACUUGCAAUUCUCCUGCCUCAGCCCUCUUGAGUGCUGAGAUUACAGCCAUUAAUAUCCCAUGGAGGCCCCACCCUAAAGUCCCGAGGCCCUGCUCAUUGUUAUGGUGCACAUCUAUUAUCCAUCUGGGAAGCUGAGGAAGUGGAUCUUGAGCUCCAAGCCAACCUGGGCUAAGCAGCAGGCAAGACCCUGUCUCAAAAACAAAAGAGGCCUGGCUACUGCUCAAGAUGGCUGCAAUCUGGUCACCAUCCAGGUGGUGCUAGUUUGUCAAGCAUAUAGAAUGCAAGAGCCACAGGGUCAUGGAAGCUGCUAUCUGCCUUUCAAUGGAAGGCGUGCCAAAUCAAGCAACUUAUUGCAAACCAACAUCUCUGAAGGAAGUCCUGACAGUCUGGCAUACAGAUCUGUGAAGAUGAAGCCUAUGCCACAGUGAAGCCCCCCCUAGAACAUGGUGUGUCUGUCAUGAAGGCUAUAGUCAAUGAAUAGAGUCAACUGUGGUGGUUACCAGACUCUCAAAUGUUUGAUUUUACCAAAAAAGACUUGGAAGCCAGAUACUGUGGUAAAAGCCUGCUAGCUCAGAGAAGCAGAGAAAGCAAGCUGAUCUUCCUCCUCAUCCAGUGUCCCAAAUGGAGAAGCAAGAUCUCCUUUCCACUCCACCUCAGAAACUGCUCAAACUAAGUGUUCCUCCCUUCUACUUCCUGUUCAUCGCUCUGUCCUCCUGACUCCUAACUCUCUGUGCUUUUUUUCUAUGUUCACUCCCCUUCAACUGGUUGCAUGCUCCACCUCUAGACCUAAGGUUGACUUUAUUUAGUCCUGUUUACAAUAAACAGAAAGAGCUUGUUUUAAAGAUGUGUGCUAGGGCUGAGCCAUACCACAACUAAGAAUCAGGUUUUUUAAUACAUCCUAGGAGUUCACAGUGUGGUCAUAUAUUCUGUAACAGUCAGUCUAUGACAACGUCUAUGUGGGCUGUAAAUGGCAAGACCAUAAGAAUAAGGCUGCCCCAGCCUGUUAGAGCUUACACCAUUCUUUCAUAUGUCAUAGAUGUUGACUAUAGAGCUACAAAAUUGGAUGAUUGCCUUGCUAGAUUGGCAUCUUGUUUUGUACCAUUUCUUCUAUGUCAUCAUUGUUUCCUUUUUUAAAAGUUAUUAUUUACUUUGUAUGGUUGUGUCUUGUUUUAUAUAUAUUGAGACAGAGUUGCAUAUAGUCUAGGUUAGCACUGAACUUGCUAUGUUGUAGAAGAGGACCCUAAACUCCAGGUGUUCACAGACACACACCACCAUACCCAGUUUAUGUGGUGGACCCCAGGGAUUCAUGCAUGCUAGGCAAAUGUCUGCCAGUUGAGCUACUUCUCUAGCCCAUGAGCCUUGGUACAAAUGUAAUUUUUUUCUUUUUCUUUCUCUUUCUUUUUGAGUAUUGAGACAUAAACUCUUCAACAAUUGA